rnacentral:snRNA from 1 species
AUACUUUGUUGGCGGGGAGAUGCCAUGAUCAUGAAGUUGGUCUUCCCAGGGUGAGGCUUAUCCAAUUGAACUCCCGUGUACUAACCCUUCUGGUUUCCCCAAAUGUGGGAAACCCAACUGCAUAGUUUGUGGUUGUGGGGGACAGGGUUCACACUUUCCUCCU